AAUAUUUUCCAUUUGACUUUCUAAUCUACUGCAUUCAGGUGAGGGCCAGCUCCCUGAGGCAUUCCUUACACAGAGCUACAAAUUAAUGAGUGCCUUCCCAGUGCCAGAUGCCAACAUUAUGAGGUUCACAGAUGAAAAAACAAGCGCAGAGAAGUGAAGAGAUUUGCUUGGGACUAUGCAGGCUAACGUCACUUGGUGUCAGAAGUGGGAUCCAGAGGCGACCCUAUUCCCUCCCUACCACCUAACGACUCCAAGGCCAGUGAGCAAACAGGUGCCAGUACCCACUGGGACCACUGAGCUCAGUGCUUUCUCACUGACACUGGACCUUGAAGACCCCAACAGGAAAAGCGGUACAUUGCAACUCCUACAAGAGGCGGACCACCCCAGCAGCUCAGCCAAUGAGAAAUCAGCACCACCCUGAACUUGCCGCCUACUCUCCUUUCGACUUCUGUUCAAAACAACUCCUCCC